ensembl:lncRNA
UGAAGCCUGAAUCUGACUGCUUCUUCCCAUCUCUUGUUCUAAUUUGCUGAAUAUCCCUCAUGGACAGAGGAGAGGUGCUCCAGUCCUCUGAGCAUCUACAUGUCCUCCGCUGGAACUGCUCCAACAGCUGUACAUUUUUCAUGUGGGACAGACCCCAGACCUGGACAGAGAACACCAGAUGGGGCAUCAUGAUGGUAGAGCAAAGGGGGACAGUCACCUCCUCUCCCUGCUGACCACCCCUCUGUUCGUGCAGCCCAGAAUACCGUUGGCCUUCCAGACUGCAAGCACACACAGCUGGCUCAUGUUCGCCUUUUCAUCCACCAGGACCCCCAAGAGCUUAUUUGUAGCACUGCUCAAGAGGAAUUCUUCUUCCACUCUGUACACAGAUCUGGGAUUUCUGUUCCCCAAGAGCAACAUCUUGCAUACCCAGAGAAGAAAAGCAGCAUGCACAAGGUAAAGUGUGAAGGCAUGGACCUCAUUCAGCAAGUAGGAUUAGCAAUGUGUCCAGAGCAGGGAAAGAGGAGAAGAUAUCAUGCCAGGACCUCUGGCAGCAGAGAAGGGAUGGAUUCAGUAUUUUUAAUAGGAAUAUAAUGAAAUUAAAACAAAAUCUUUUGGAUGACCUCUCCGUCAAGGUGUCUGAUCUAUGAGCUGUACAUAGGGUACAUAUAAGUCUAGUAUUAUGGAAGCAUAGUAUAGUAUAUGGAAGUUGGUGGCACUGCAUGCAGCAGGGGGGUUGGAGCCUGAUGAACCCAAGCCAUUCUAUGAUUCUAUGAUUCUAUGAU